UACGAAGGGGGCUAGCGUUGUUCGGAAUUACUGGGCGUAAAGCGCGUGUAGGCGGUUGUUCAAGUCGGGUGUGAAAGCCUUGAGCUCAACUCAAGAAAUGCACUCGAUACUGGAUGACUUGAGGACCGGAGAGGAUAGUGGAAUUCCCAGUGUAGUGGUGAAAUACGUAGAGAUUGGGAAGAACACCAGUGGCGAAGGCGGCUCACUGGACGCGAUAUUGACGCUGAGGUGCGAAAGCGUGGGGAGCAAAACAGG
rnacentral:rRNA from 1 species